AGCAUGAAUUUUUCAUGUUGUGCCUGACAAAGGAACAGUGCAAUAAAGUGGAAAUAAGACUGGAUUUGGACCAUCCUUGGUGCUUAGUGUCUGCACAUGGGAGAAGUCUAUCACAAGCAACCAUUUGGCAUAUAGAACUGGAUAUGAUAUCAGAAGUCUACCCCUCCUUUUACUGA
rnacentral:lncRNA from 1 species